CUUAUCAAAACAUUAUGUAAAACAAACGUUAAAGCAGCAGCAAAGACAUAGCCGGAAAAAGAGAAGGAUAUCAGAGCAACUGAAAUUCGUUAAAACAUACCAUCUAGCUAAACCUUUUUCAAAAGUCGGCUUGCUAGCAUUAGCAAGAGUCUGGAGAAGACGAUGCUAACGUCAAAGAAGAGGACAAUAACGUGGCAGCCAUUAAAAUUAGUUCAGCUGAGUAUUAGAGAGCCACACACCUGCAGCACCCACCUGUUCAACUGCCCCACCUUCAUAUCCACUUGAGUCCGACUGAGAGGCGGCUGUGGCAGAGCCUCAGAGGUGACAUUCCUCCGUGUCAGAGCAACAGCCUCAAGUUUAAGAUAACACUGCCAUGGUGAUCUAAGGGUGGGAAUCGAUUCCCCCCGGUGGCUGGUGAGGGGCCUCGGGGUCAGAGCUGAUGGCUUUACCUUCCGCACGCAACCUGUGAUACAAAAACACAGUAAUGCCCCUAUGAUCAUCCCUCAACAAGCCUACGGAGAGCACUGGAACGUACUACAAUAAACAUGAUGGGACAUUCCGCCGGUUGUCGUGGAAACACUGAGAAAGCACAGCUGGGCGGGAGAAUAUGAG